rnacentral:lncRNA from 1 species
GCUACUUUCAGAAUUUCCCGAUGGACUGGUGAUAGGGUUACGAAGAAGACUCAAAGACAUCUCCAAAGUUUAGGCAUAGGAAACCAGAAGAAGGAGUUGGAUGGUUCAUAGAAUUUACAGGAUACUCAAGCUAUGAAAAUGGGCGUAUAAAGACAAAAAAAAAAAAAAAUGCCGCAGGAGCGGCCCAAGAAAUAGCAACAACAACAACAACAACAACAAAAGACAAAAAAAAAAAAAAAAAGAAAAGAAAAUGGGCGUAUAAAUGAAGAGGAGGGAGGGACCGUAACCAUGGCCAAAAUCAUACCACAGAGCCAGCCUGAUGAGGCCUUUCUUGCUGCUGACACUGGACAUUGCAUGCCACCCCUGGCAUGGAAACUAGAUAUUGCUGUUGCUAGAAUAAAUUCUGCUUCCAAGAUUCUUUCCCUGCAUUACUGUUUCCUGAGUCAGAAUCCCUGGGGACCAUGUCCAACUGCCCAAGUUCAGAUCACAUGCCUACUCUCCAGCUGUAAUAGGUGAUGGGAAAGUGUCUGGUCCUUUUUUUUUUUGGCUUUUUAGAGCUGCACCCAUACCAUUGCUCACCGCUAUGUUGGAUCCCUAACCCACUGAGCAAGGCCAGGGAUCAAACUCGCAUCCUUACAGAUACUAGUCAAGUUUGUUACCUCUGAGCCACAAUAGGAAUUCCAUGGCCCUUCUCCUUCAAAGUGGGUCACUGUCCCUGCUUUUUUACUUAAGGUCAAAUGGCAAGAAUUCUUCUGUUACACAAAGAGGGCUCAGCUAGUGGGCAGCCACAAACACAAGGAACAUACACCACGUUACAUCGGGGCCAUUGCUGUGGAACUGUGUUAGAUUGCUGAGGCUGAAAGCUACAUAACUCAUUUAAGAGCUUGGUGUUUUAAAGGAGUUUUGACAAACCAAUCUGAGAGCAUUUCAUUCAUAACUGUGAGAGCGCUUCAAACUCCUCAACAGGAAAUAUGAACGGUUGCUUUAUCACUUGAUGGCACAAAGUAUCAGUAACAGACUUCCUUCUGCUUUGCCCACUUCUCUCACCACAGCCCUGUGAGACUGGGAUUCUUACAGAAGCGAGGCUUGCUUUCGAGGCACCCAGGGCCUUAUCUAUGUAUUAUUUAUCCAUCACUGCAGCAUCAGGGGAGAGGGAGGCCUAAUAACUCUCUGAUGAUUGCUCAGGGAAUCAAAUGUACUUGAAAUCAAAGGGCUGUACCAAAGGCAGGCAUUACCGAGCAGUAGUAUAUAAAAGGUUCUUGCUGUAAGAACAUCCACAAAAUCUCACAAACUCCUCCAUAGAAUUGUUGAAGGGCUUGAGAAACAAAGUUUGAAAACCACCCAGUAAAGUAAAGAACACCAGAUAGGGAUCUCUAAAGACCAAAGUUGUCACUGUGCUGCUGGGGUUAAUUACUAUAUCUCCAUAGGUUUAUUUGGUUUUUUUGUUUGUUUGUUUGUUUGUUUUGUCUUUUUAGGGCUGCACCUGUGGCAUAUGGAGGUUCCCAGGCUAGGGGUCGAAUCUGUGCUGUAGCCACUGAUCUGUGCCACAGACACAGCAACCCAGGAUCUGAGCUGCUUUUCGACCUACACCACAGCUCAUGACAACGCUGGAUCCUUAACUCACUCAGCAAGGCCAGGGAUCAAACCCGCAUCCUCAUAGAUACUAGCCAGAUUCAUUUUCACUGAGCCACAACGGGAACUCCUCUCCGUAAGUUUUAAUCUCUGCAAACCAUAGUUUCCCUCUUCUGUAAAAUGGGGGGAAAUCACCAUCUUGCAGUGAUGUCAUGAGGAUUAAAUAAGAGAAUGUGUGUAAAACCGAGCUGAAGGGUGAAUAAAGUGUCCUAUGAAGUUAGAAUAACUUACUUUUCGAGUUCCCUUCAUGGCAUGGCGGAAACGAAUCUGACUGGAAUACAUGAGAAUGCGGGUUUGAUCCCUGGCUUUUCUCAGUAGGUAGGGGAUCCGGCGUUGCAGGAGCUGUGGUGUAGGUCACAGACACAGCUUGGAUCCCAGUCGCUACUGCUCUGAUAGAGCCUGGGAACUUCCAUAUGCUGUGGCUGCGGCCCUAAAAAGCAAAAAGAAAACAAAAAACAAAAACAAAAAACACCUUGCUUUUCACAGGCACAGGGAACCAAGAAUUUUAAACCCACAGCACUUAGGUCCCACAUCUGUGUUGUCUGGGACAUUUCUGUUGUUCUGGAAGUGGAGGCCCAGAGGCUCACGGUACCUUGCCUCACACGAUCCCUUACAACAGCAUUGGUGACAGACCCCACUUUGCAGCCAUUCCCUUCCCUAUCAUUUUAAACACCCGAUCUGAGUUCUGGCUUGGCUUACCGCCUUGAUGGGUUAAGUUGUGAACUGACUGCUCCAAAGUCCAGUAGUUACUUUAUUCAUCUCGUUGUUGGGGAGCCCCUCCCAGCUCCCCUCAAGGAUGGCUUGCUUGUUCUUUCCACCUCUGGCUCAUCCAGGUGCUGCUUUCUUUUUUUUUUUAAUUUUUUUGGAAUUUAUUUUACUUUGAUUUUUAGGGCCACACCCACGGCAUAGGGAAGUUCCCAGGCUAGAGGUCAAAUUGGAGCUGCAGCUGCCAGCCUAUGCCAUAGCCACAGCAAUGUGGGAUCCCAGCCACAUCUGCGACCUACACCACAGCUCUCGGCAAUGCCAAAUCCUUAACCCACUGAGCGAGGCCAGGGAUCAAACCUGCAUCCAUGGAUACUAGUCAGAUUCGUGUCCACUGAACCUCAGUGGGAACUCCAAAAAUAUUUUAAAAUUUAUAGGUGUUCCCGUUGUGUCUCAGUGGUUAAUGAAUCCAACUAGGAACCUUGAGGUUGAGGAUUCGAUCCCUGGCCUUGCUCAGUGGGUUAAGGACCGGGUGUUGCCCUGAGCUGUGGUGUAGGUUGCAGAUGCGGCUUGGAUCCUGAGUUGCUGUGGCUCUGGUGAAGGCUGGUGGCUACAGCUCCUAUUAAACCCCUAGCCUGGGAACUUCCAUAUGCUGCUGGUGCAGCCCUAGAAAAGACAAAAAAAAAAAAAAAAUUUAAAUAGUAAAAUUAAAAUAUGUAAUAAAUAUAUUGGAGUUCUCUUGUGGUGUAGCAGGUUGAGGAUCUGGUAUUAUCACUGCAGCAGUUCGGGUCACUCCUGUAGCACAGGUUUGAUCCCUGGCCUGGGAACUUCCACAUGCUGCAGGCAUGGCCCCCCAAAAAAACACAAAAACAAAUUAAAAGAAAAUAUUAUAAAUAUAUGUUAGAUGGCUUCUAUUUAUGAACUAUUGGUUUGGGACCCUUGUAUUUGUUUUUUUUUUUUUUUUUUUUUUUUUUUUUUUUUUUUUGCUUUUUAGGGCUGCACCUGUGGCAUAUGGAGGUUCCCAGGCUAGGCAUUGAAUCAGAGCUACAGCUGCCAGCCUACACCACAGCCACAGCAACGCCAGAUCUGAGCUGCAUCUGUGACCUAUACCGCAGCUCACGCCAACGCCAGAUCCUAAACCCACUGAGAGAGGCCAGGGAUUGAACCUACAACCUCAUGGUUCCUAGUCGGACGCUUUUCCCCUGUGCCCACGAUGGGAACUCUGGGACAGUGGCAGGGCAAAUGAAAGUAGGAGAGACUAAACCAACAUGGAGGAAUGUGGUUUUGAGCAUAUGAAAUAGGAAAAAGAGAGGAAGGCAAGCUUUUUGCCUUAUUGCAUUUUAAAAAUGUCUACUCAGAAAAUCUUUUGGAAGAGAAUGAGUGACUUUCAGUCCUUAAAGUUCAUGCUGACUCAUAGAAUCCUCUUCUUUUGCCUUAUAUGCAGGAAGGGAUUUGCUAGAGGGGAAGCCUAGGAGCUGUGAAUAUUUUUCACUAGACUUUGUUUUUCUGUCUAUGUAAUGUGUUUAUUGUUUAAAAAUCACGUGUUGCUAGGUUUCACUCUAUAAGAUCGGAGCCAGUGCCUGCCUUCUAUGGCAUUAAAAUUUGAUGUAGGAAUACUUAUGAAGUUCCAACUCACAGUAACAGAGAACCAAAACCAAAACAAUAAUGAAGCUGGGUAAGAUGUCUUCAUAAAUAAGAUUUUAGAGUUGAGAAUAAAGGAAAACUUGACAAAAAAAGUUAAGAGUUUGGUGUCCAGGAGAAGGGUCCAGCUAGAAGUUGUCCUAAAGGAGAGAGAAUUACAGGAUCUAGUUGAAUGAAAUCAAUUCUUUACACUGCCUAGCCCAUGCUUGUUGGGAAAGGGACUCUUUUGAUGGGGAGAAAUCAAGUGCCAUUAGGGCUGUGGUGGGGUGAAUAAAGAUGGUUAAUUUAAACCGUUUUCUUCCACUCUGGCAAAUCACAGCAGCACCGGAUCUCUGGGGGUAUUGGUAAGCUUGCAAGAUGCUAACUUUCCGGAGGUGGUUGCUGCUGUGUGCCUCCUACCUGGGAUCAAGUCGCUUUGAAGGCUGAUUGUCACAUCACCAAUCUGCAGCUGAGAGGGCCCCUGCAGAUCUGGGAAACAAGAUACCAUCAAGGCUGGUUUCUGCAGAAGACUGAGCCCUGCAGGCUAGCAGGAGAGAGGAAGGCGAGCAGAGGGGGACUGCCGCAGGAAGGAUGCCCACCCUGGCAGGUGGGGGCUUAUGAGCCUGCAUGCAUCAGAACCUCCAUCUUCUUGUAGAGCAGAGAGCACAAGACUGAUACUAGUUACUCAAACUGCAAACCAUGCCAGACCUCAGUUAUCCUGAAUCAAGACAUUACAACCUUAAACUUUGGGCAUAACAAGGGGAAAAGUCCUUGGGAUCUGAGCUAGUUCUCGUGCUGGUACAUAGGAACUUCUGGACACUCCCCUUUGGCUUGAGUGCCAAUUGUUACACUCCUUUGAACAAUUCAUUUUAUUUACGAGUCCUAUGUAAUAACAAGAAUAAGCAAAAAUGAUUUACCCAACACCAGCAAUAUGCACGAGAUUAUGCUAGGCCUUGUAGGGAAUGAAAAAAUUUAUGAAAUCUGGAGUUCCCGUCGUGGUGCAGUGGUUAACGAAUCCGACUAUGAACCAUGAGGUUUCGGGUUCGAUCCCUGGCCUUGCUCAGUGGGUUAAGCAUCUGGCGUUGCCAUGAUCUGUGGUGUAGGUCGAAGACCAGACUUGGAUCCUGCGUUGCUAUGGCUCUGGUGUAGGCUGGCGGCUACAGCUCCGAUUCGACCCCUAGCCUGGGAACCUCCAUAUGCCGCGGGAGCGGCCGAAGAAAUG